UAGAAAGAAAAAUUUCAGAAGAGAAGAAAAAAGAAAGUUGUACGCAGUUGAGAAAUAUUAUUACUCUAUCUUCGCAUCUCAUUUUACUCUAUUCAUCUAGAGCUACUAAAUAUCACUAUAAUUACCAUGUCCGGCAUGCCAUCACCAUUAUAGUCAGAUAACAAUAGUUAUGGAUGACCUUGAUUAUGCUGCAUUCCAUUCCGAUAAGGCACAAGUAAGGUCAUAUAAAGGUUAAAGAAGAUACUGCUAGAAUGAUCUUCAAUAUUUAAGAUGAAUAAGAAGCAUGUAUUGACAAACAGUACGUCUGACUAAUGCACAACUUGAUUGAUCGGCUAAAUUUGUACAAUUAUUCUGUCUUUCUUAUAAAAUUAAUGUCUGUAUAUAUUCAGCCGGACGAAGGAAAAAUAAAAAGGUAAAAAAAAAUAAUAAUAAGUUUUUGUUCGGUUUGUUUUCUCUUCCUCCCUCCCUCCAUUUUUUUUUUGUUUA